UUCACUUUAAAUUUAAACCACACAUAUAUCGACACAUACCACGGGGUGCCCAAUCGGGUCGUGCUAUGGGGUAUAUGGAGGCUUAAC
rnacentral:sRNA from 18 species